AUGGAGCCGACCUUGAAAUACCACCCUUUAAUGUUUGAUGUUCUAACGUUGACCCGUAAUCCGGGUUGCGGACAGUGUCUGGUGGGUAGUUUGACUGGGGCGGUCUCCUCCUAAAGAGUAACGGAGGAGCACGAAGGUUGGCUAAUCCUGGUCGGACAUCAGGAGGUUAGUGCAAUGGCAUAAGCCAGCUUGACUGCGAGCGUGACGGCGCGAGCAGGUGCGAAAGCAGGUCAUAGUGAUCCGGUGGUUCUGAAUGGAAGGGCCAUCGCUCAACGGAUAAAAGGUACUCCGGGGAUAACAGGCUGAUACCGCCCAAGAGUUCAUAUCGACGGCGGUGUUUGGCACCUCGAUGUCGGCUCAUCACAUCCUGGGGCUGAAGUAGGUCCCAAGGGUAUGGCUGUUCGCCAUUUAAAGUGGUACGCGAGCUGGGUUUAGAACGUCGUGAGACAGUUCGG
rnacentral:rRNA from 1 species